GUGGUUCAAGGCCGGCGCGCAGAUCUUCUCCGAGGGCGGGCUGGACUACCUGGGCAACCCCAACCUGGUGCACGCGCAGAGCAUCCUCGCCGUGCUGGGCUUCCAGGUCAUCCUCAUGGGCCUCGUCGAGGGCUUCCGCAUCAACGGCCUCGACGGCGUCGGCGAGGGCAACAACCUCUACCCGGGCGGCCAGUACUUCGACCCGCUCGGCCUCGCCGACGACCCCGUCACCUUCGCCGAGCUCAAGGUCAAGGAGAUCAAGAACGGACGCCUCGCCAUGUUCUCCAUGUUCGGAUUCUUCGUGCAGGCCAUCGUCACCGGCAAGGGGCCCCUCGAGAACCUGCUCGACCACCUCGACGACCCCGUCGCAAACAACGCCUGGGUCUACGCCACCAAGUUCGCGCCCGGGUCUUAAGAAGCUAGACGGCUGCUUCGUGCCUGCCACCAUUGUAGACUACUCGUUACUUUUGUACCACCAAUUAAUGCAAAUACCUUGUUCUCAGGAUUCAGG
rnacentral:lncRNA from 1 species